GGAGGGGUGGCAGAGUGGUCGAAUGCGGCGGUCUCGAAAACCGUUUACCCUUGUAUAAGGGUACGAGGGUUCGAAUCCCUCCUCCUCCGCCA
rnacentral:tRNA from 4 species